UAUCGUAAACACUAGUUGCGAUCAAUGUUAAUGCGCGUCCGGUGGGAAAAAUGACUAAAAUAAGCCGGAAAAACUAGAGCAAGCAGCUCGUGUUCUAUGCACAUUUGACGCAGACGCCGCUUGCAAAUAUGAAAACACAAAUUAUCGCAAGUGAAUACACAAGGAAAAAAAAAAAUAAUAAUAAACAGAAGAAAAUGUGGGCGAAAGAGAUGGAACGAGAAUUGGGCGUGGGAAUUGCAAACAUGUUGCCAGCAAAUGACGAAGGGAAUUUAUUUUAAGAUGAUUUACGAUGAAUAUGAAGAAGAAGCUAGUUGGAAAACCUCCUGGGAAUAAUGAGUGGACUGCCAAGUAUAUAUUUGUAUUUGCCAAAUUGCCGAGACACUUGUCCAACCGGCUGUCACAAUCCGUCAUCAUUUUGAAGGCCAAACAAUGGGAGGUAUUCAAUACAUCAAAAUAUAGUUGAUAGUCAAACGUAUACGUAAUAUGAGCAACUAACUAG